GAUGAAGAACGUAGCGAAAUGCGAUAAGUAAUGCGAAUUGCAGAAUUCAGUGAGUCAUCGAAUCUUUGAACGCACAUUGCGCCCGCCAGUAUUCUGGCGGGCAUGCCUGUCCGAGCGUCAUUUCAACCCUCGAACCCCUCCGGGGGGUCGGCGUUGGGGAUCGGCCCUUUACCGGCCGGCCCCGAAAUACAGUGGCGGUCUCGCCGCAGCCUCUCCUGCGCAGUAGUUUGCAGACUCGCACCGGGAGCGCGGCGCAGUCCAAUGCCGUAAAACACCCAACUUUCUGAAAUGUUGACCUCGGAUCAGGUAGGAAUACCCGCUGAACUUAAGCAUAUCAAUAAGCGGAGGA
rnacentral:misc_RNA from 1 species